rnacentral:miRNA from 1 species
AGUUGUUUGACCACGACACAAGG